rnacentral:rRNA from 1 species
GCACAGCAGUCGAGAUGCAGAGCAUCAUAAAGACAGUUUCCUUGUGUAGACAGUGUAUACGUGCCGUGCAAUCGGGUGAAGUAACACAGUGGGAAACUGCCCUGUAGAGCGUGGAUAAAGCCGAGGAAAUCGGUGCUAUACGGAUGAUUAGCGAAAUGAUCGCAUGGUCUUGUCCGUUGAAUGGCGGAUAGUGUCCGCUAGAGUGAUGGGCCUGCGGCAUUAGCAGUUGGUGAGGUAACUGCUCCCAGGGCUGAGAUGCGUAGCGACCUGAUGAGGCUGACCGCCACACUGGGAAUGAGACAUGGCCCAGAUCCCACGGGAGGCAGCCGUAGGGAUUCUUCCGCAUGGACGAUAAGUUUGACGGAGCAAACGCGGGUGAGCAAAGAAGGCUUCGGGUCGUUAAGCUCUCGUCUGUUAGGAAGCACAGUACCGCAGUAUUGGCGAACCUGAAGGACUAAAAGAAGCACCCGAUAAUUAAUGCCACGACCCCGAAAUAGAUAGUGGAAGAGCUGUCCGGAUAUUAGGCUAAAGUGCGCGGGCGUCCUAAGCUGCCUGGAAGCCACGUCCCGUGGAGGCUCAAAUGGGCUUGCUGAGAAGGACGUCUCUCCGGUUGGAAAUCCUCUGAUUGUGGGCACUGGAAGAGUGCUCGUUAUAUCUGGGCGUUGGUAAAUGUUGAUACUCGUGUCUCCCACAUUUUUUGUAGGAUCCUGGGUGGGAAUUAUCUCUGGGGCGGGAAUAAGAUGAGAGGGGGGUUAUAAAAAUAAGUUGUG